GAUGAACGCUAGCGCUAGGCUUAACACAUGCAAGUCGAGGGGCAGCACAAGGUAGCUUGCUAUCUGGGUGGCGACCGGCGCACGGGUGCGUAACGCGUAUGCAACUUGCCCUAUACAGGAGGAUAACCCGUCGAAAGACGGACUAAUACUGCGUAUGCUCACAACUUGGCAUCAAGUGGUGAGGAAAGAAAUUCGGUAUAGGAUAGGCAUGCGUCCCAUUAGCUUGUUGGUGAGGUAACGGCUCACCAAGGCAACGAUGGGUAGGGGAACUGAGAGGUUUAUCCCCCACACUGGUACUGAGACACGGACCAGACUCCUACGGGAGGCAGCAGUGAGGAAUAUUGGUCAAUGGGCGCGAGCCUGAACCAGCCAAGUCGCGUGAAGGAUGACUGUCUUAUGGAUUGUAAACUUCUUUUAUACGGGAAUAACAAGAGUCACGUGUGACUCCCUGCAUGUACCGUAUGAAUAAGCAUCGGCUAACUCCGUG
rnacentral:rRNA from 1 species